AAAUUUGAUUGGAAGAAAAUGACCUAACCGAAUACAGAUCAUCAUGAUUAGAAUAUGUACUUGUAUGAUUAGUUGAGAGCUUCGCUUGUCUCGGUAAGUCCGCUUAUUCGGUCGAGCUUGAACCGGCUUAACGGACAUGCAAGGAGCACUAACAAGCGACAGUAAACAGUAGAUUUGAAAGAAGAAAGUGAGAUGGAAAAUAAGUAAAGAAAAUAAGGGUUGUACCGGCUUUACAUAGAAGCCAAGAGAGAUGGAAAACAGAGGAAUUGUGAACGUUCUCCUUAUUCAUAUUUCCAUAAAGCUUCUCCAAUGACCUUUAUUGAGAAGAUUUGAUCGCCUUGAUCUCGCGGUGCUUUUUUGUUGACGACAAAAAUAUCAACAACUUAAAUUUUGAAGCUUUUGAUCAUCUCUCCGCUGUGUUCUCUUGACGAUAAGAAAAGCUUUAUGCGAGAAAUGCCUUUUGGAUAGCGCACCAGUCGCUACAAGUGUAAAUGAUUUUUUUACCUGGCACAGCUUUUUGAACGGGGAAUUCAGAUAUAUCAACAAGUUGCACAUCCUCGAAUCUGGACAAGAUAUCAUAGUACUUUUGAUUUGAACGCAUCAAAAUGCUUAUGGGGGAUAUCUGGAGGCAACCGAAAUCAGUAGGGGAAUCACCGAUAUAGACAACAUUAAGUGGAGACGAAACUGCGUCUGUUUGCACUAUUCGCCGAAACUCUCGUACUUUGUCCGUAGAAUUCAUUAGAAGUGAACUUGCAUUUCUCGCAAGUAUCCUACCGUUUGUUGUGUUUGUAGACGUAUCGAAGUCAAAGUCGUUGGCAUGGACACACAACAAGUCUGCGGUUAAGUCCGUAUGGUGAAGCAGGGUUUGUUCGAUUACUCUUGCAGACCAAUUGACGGAAAGAACGUGGAAAAUGGUUUUGCUUACACGGAGAUCGGGCACCAAAGCAUUGAUGAACUCUACAAAUCCUGCGCGCAGGGUGAUCAGUUGUACGAUGUUGUCAAGGGCACCCUCCGAUAAUCCGGAAAAAUAUUGAGAUUUUUCAAUUCUUUUUAUACUAGCUUCUUCGAGAUAUCGACUUCCUCCUAGUAGAGGUAAAUAAGAUGUUAGCGUGGUAGAAUGCGGUAAUGCUUCACGCCAAGCCAAAUACUCUUGCCAGUAUUUAUCAGAUAUUACGCUCCAUUCUUCGGGCUUAUUAACAGCUUCAGCUAGGAGGUGGAUUGUAUCGUAGGUGGUAAUUGUCUCGUCAAAAUCCACUAUGUACAGCAUUUGCCAAUUUUUAUAUGAGAAAACGAUAGGUGUUUGAAAAUAGAUGUUCACGUAGAAAAAACCAAAAGAAGCUAUAUUAAUGAAUGGAAAUGAUUAGGAAUGCUAAUCUCUUUCACCAAUUUUGAAGGAAUAGAGAUGUUUUCUAAAGGCGAAGCUUUUAAGUCUGAAGGCUAGAAGAAGUAGUAUGGUUAGGCAGAAGACUUGAGCAUGCAUGUGUGUGGACGAAAUCCAAAAAUUAAACCGGCGAAUGAUUUGAGCACUGAAAGGAAAAAAGAAGUCUUGUAUUGAAUUAAUUCAUAGAGUAUGAUAAAAAUUGAUAGUAAAUUCAUUGGUAUACUAAAGUGAUGUAGAAAAUUAAGAAAUCACAUAGACUACUUGAGUUACGAUGAUUUAUUAGCAUGCAUCCGGACCGUAAAGCAAAAGAAAUUAAAUAUUUAUGAAAAAAAAAAUAAAUGAUUCAUAACAAGCAGAUGAAAAUGAUGACGAAUUAGGACUCUUCAAAAUAAAUGAAGAUUAUACAUUACAAACUUUGGUCUGACUUUUUAAAGCACACGAUUUGCUACCUUUUUUUGACUGACUUUUUAAGAACCUUUCCGACGUUUAGCCUGAGCUGAAUGUCUGACAAAGAGUCCCACGAUACAACAGGUUUGGAGGUAGGGUGAGGAUUAUAAGGCAAAUAGCAAACGGCACUCAAAAAGGUUAUGAGCGAUCUCUGUAAGAUACGACAGAACCCCUUUCUGGGGUUCAGUGGUGCAAACGGUGGUCGCGAAAUUUGUGGAUUUCGAAGUGUGACAUCUAAGAGAAGUGAAUGCAAGUGAUGAUAUUCAUGUGGUAAGAGUGGGACAGCAAUACGAGGCAAAAGUUCGUCGUAUGCCCUCUUGCAACUAAGGUUAAUAUGGUAAGGGCGAUCUUUGUUUUUCUCUAUUAAACCGUCAAAUAUGACGCUGGGCAAAUGGCGGAUUUUUGCAUUUUCCAUAUUUAUCUCAAAAACGGCCGAUAAUAGGGAUGAAAUGUAAGGAAGACGAACUGGUGAAUUAGAUGGUAAACUUUUGGGUAUCUUUGAAGGUCGAAUUUUAUUAUCUUGUAAAUAAUGAAGACGCCUAUGACGAAGAGGACCUGUUUGUGAAUAAGCGUAUCGUAAAGUCUGCCAUAUAGCUUGAUGGUCGCCAUCAUUGGCGCGCUCAAUACGACAUGCAAAAGUUUUUAGGAGAUUGCGAAACCGUUUUAUGCGCCGCUUGUGAGGAUUAGGAUUUGACUUGCGAGCUUUUCGGGCGUAAGCUUGAAAAUGUGAGAUUAGGAUUUGGGAUGCCAUUGGAUCCCAGAAUCUUCGAGUUGCCUUUAAUAGUCUUCGAUAAAGAGGGACUAGAGUCGAGCACUGCCUGUCCUUUGGUUGAGGUAAGUGUAAACGAGAGUCAUAAGUUACCAGGCUACCUAAAAUGUUCGAAAGUGGAUGAACAAGAUCAUUUGGAGCUUGGAAUGGUCUCCUUUUGGUAACUGUAGAAAUAAAUCUCAUGAGUAAGGAAUUUUGUAUGAAUGAAACAUGAAAGUUAAGUGAAACAAUGCAAAAAAAAAAAAAAAAAAAAAAGAAAAACCAAAUAUAAAAAUUAAAACCAAGGGCCAAGAUGAAGGGACA